UACAGAUUAGAUGCAAAGGAAGAGGCCGUCUCCCUCUCUCCAUCUCUCCCCGAACCUCUUCUGCCCAUUGGCUCGUGCUCCUCCUCCGUCUCCUUCGUCUCGCUACUCCCCCGACUCUCCAUGGCCUAUUCUAAUGUAAUCGAUUUUUUUUGUUAGAGUUGAAGUGGACAAUCUAUUAGGAAUAAGGAUACUGUAUACGUGCAUCUACAGGUCAAUCGAGUCAGCUUUCCUCCAACGCCUCUUUUCUCUCCCACAAUCUAAUGAGAUUUUUUGUUUUGGUUUUUGGUCGAUUUGAAGUGCACGUUCGAUCAGGAGGCUGUAUCCCGGAUGUUGAGGGCAAUCGAGCCAGCGUUCUUGCUCUUUUCUCGCCACGAUCUAAUGGAAUUAUUUAAGAGUUCAAGUGCAGGUUAGAUCUGAAGGAUGUGUACGUGCAUGUUCAGGACCUUCAGGCUUCGGCUCAAUUGAUCAUGCUUUCUACGUGUGCAUCUCAUCGAGGAACUACGUGCUAGCGCGUCAGGAAGGAAUCAAUCCAACUUGCGCCAUCGUGCCGUUGCUGCCGCUCUGCCAGUGAUGUGCAACCAGUGCAACUCGGGGUAUAUUACCUUCACCGGUGCAAGAACCUACGAGGCUGUCGGCGACCAUGUUCCUUUAAUCUUGAUUGAGGCCGCCGCUCCAUCUUGGCUGGCGCAUGCGACUACCUGACUCACACUCCAAACUCUAUUCAAGUUCAUCUCCUGACCUAGACCUAAGAAGUCGGCUUGAUCCAUAACGUUUUAUCAAGAAAAACUAGCUUUUUCCAUGUCUAUGUUUCAGCACUUCUCUUUAUCAGAUUACAUGUUUUGGGGAGUGGAGGAGAACCAGCUAGGAGCUCGGCAUUGCCUAAGUGGCACGCAUGCAGUAAGUUUUUGUUAAACUGCAUCUACAUCAACCAGCCAUGAGCCCGUUUACGUACAUUGUUUAUAAGAAGCUUUACGCGGAUGUCUUCCAAUGCUACCCGUUUUGUUAGUCAAAACAGUUAGUUGACCGUUCCUAUGGAGAGAUUUUUGAUUUUUUAUGUUAUUUCCUCUGAGUAAACGCUAAUUGUUAGAUUAUCUGCAUGGUACCAUGGUAUAUAUAUUAUACAAUUCUUUCUUUCAGUCUUAAAAGCGGGAUGCUUACAUUUAAGUUUUACAAACUUAACAAAUUUCUCAAAAUUAAUACAGUGCAUAAUCUUUUGGUAGAUCAGUAGUAAGAUUCUAAAACUGUUGCCCAUGCAAAAAUUAAACUAACGUUUUAUCAAGAAAAACUAGCUUUUCCAUGUCUAUCUUUCAACACUUCUCUUCUCUUUAUAAGAUUAUAUGUUUUGUGGAGUGGAGGAGAAACAGCUAGGAGCUCGGCAUCGCCUAAAGUGGCACCCAUGCAGUAAGUUUUUUUUAAACUGCAUCUACAAACUUAACAAAUUUCUCAAAAUUAUUUCUAAUACAGUGCAUAAUCUUUCAUUGGUAGAUCAGUAGUAAGAUUCUAAAACUGUUGCCCAUGCAAAAAUUAAACUAAAUGUAUGGCGUCUUUAGUUAUACAAGUACAUGCACACAAGACGUACAUUUAUUGUACUCGAAAGAGGAUCCAGAUGUAUGUUUUUGUAGUAUUAAACAUUGAUCAUCCCAAAAUUUCCGGCAAUUAUAAUCAUUAAAUUCAUAUUUCAUAGGAUUGUUAUGCAUGACCUUUUCUCUGCAAUUACAGUGUUCAGAUUUUAGAGAUGCUAGCUUUGUUAACAUAUUUUUAGCUACGAUAUCAGCAUGCCCAUUUAGUGAAUUCAGUAUUUGAUAUGGGGAGCUAUGUGCAUUGAUAAUCAUCCAAUAUUGUCAGCUAACUAUGUUUUUACGAAAUUAGCAGAUUAAUGUGUUCCACUGUGCGCAGCUGAAUGCUUAGAGUACAUGCAUGGCACUAUAUCUACUUCUGAAGACAGUAUUCCAGACUAGGAACCGUAAAAACUAUCAUGUGACCAAACUUAAGCACUCCAUACUAUUUGUAAUUAAGUAGAUUGCAAAUAUGAUGUAUAAUCCUCAUCUAAAAUUUUCAAGUGAUUUUAUCGACAUCCAAUUUCAGGAUGGUCGCUUUAUUGAUCACAAUUUUGGUUUAUGUAGGUAUGGAAUCUAUUCGCCUCUCUCCAUAGGUUUCAACUCUCUGAAUGCCUCUUCCUAUUUCCACAUAAUUAAAUCAUAUUUUUUUGGGGAAAACCAAUCUAUAUAUCCGUUGUUUCUCUGUGCGAUGCACAUGCUCUUAUGUUUGUUUUUGGACUGAUUCUACAUUGUUUUCUUGCAAUACUUACAAAACUCAAGUAUACUUAUUUGAAAUUAUCCAGUACAUCUUUUAUAUGUCCUCUUGCAUAGUGGAUUAAUCCAGAACCUAAACUGAUGACUAAUAUGGAACCUAUAUUGGGCUAUUUCUCUGAAGAAGGCUAGGCGACCUGAACUUUUAGCUUGGGUUCCAAAGAAGUUACUGAAUGAUCUUUCAGUUCAAUACCAAGCUGAAAUAAUGUAGCACUAUGACAAUAAUACUCUGCAGAUUUCUACCGUACAACAUGAUUAAAUUUAGUCUGUUACUACUACAUACAUGUAACCACUAUAUUGUUUUCUGUAUGUAAAUGACAUGUACAGAUGUCGUUGUGACUGAACCAUCCAUUUCCACAUUACCAGCCCGAGGCUUCCAUCGUAACACUCUAUAGCUUCCAUUGACUGCUGCCUUACAGAGAUCUGAUGGUUCGGUGGCUUGAGUCGCUUAUUUUGGAACGGAGGGAGUAGUUCAUGAAAAUCGAACUUAUAAUUACAUAAAUUUAUAUCUAAUACAUUGAUGCCCCUAUAUGUUUCCUUGACAGUUUCAAUACAAAUUUGUUUCCUACAUACAUGGAGAUUCAUCAUGGCCGCUUGCGGGGAAAUAGUAGCACAAACCUCAUGUAACCAGUCACCAUCAAGAUAUUUACAAAUUAUAUGGUCUUCUCCGGAUGAAGCAAUGUCUUUUAGGAGGCCGGGCGCUGUAUGGCUAGAGGCAUAAUCCAUACAUAGAAGAGAAGGUGCCGUCCACCGGUGAUGGCAUAAACACGUGUGGUGUCAAAAGCGCCCCUGCAAGGAGGAUCUGGCGGCAGAUCGUGAGGCACAGAUGCUAGCUAAGCGAGGAUAUCCAAAACCCUAGAACCUUGGCUUCUCGAUAGCUUGCAACAGAAGUAGCGAUCUAGGAGAGCUUCCUGAACAUACGGGAGGAAGGAGCAAAGGCCUGCUCGUGGGAUAAGGAGAUGGUUACCUAAGAUCUGAUGGUAUCUUUUCUUUUCGUGCUUAUUAAAGACAACCACGUUGUCCAUCAGAUCUUUCUCUUUCCCUCCAUAAUAAUCGAUGUGGUUGAUCAUUUGUUAAGUGAUCUAAAUGGAUUAAUUGAUUAGAAGUGGAACCUAUAUGGCGUUCUCAUAUCUGAGUCAUGUUUCAGAUCAUGUAUUUUAAGCUGGCA